GCGUGGAUGGCGGAAUUGGUAGACGCGCCAGGUUGAGGGCCUGGUGGCCGCAAGGCCAUGGGGGUUCGAUUCCCCCUCCACGCACCA
rnacentral:tRNA from 1 species